AACGAACGCUGGCGGCAGGCCUAACACAUGCAAGUCGAGCGCCCCGCAAGGGGAGCGGCGGACGGGUGAGUAACGCGUGGGAACGUACCCUUUGCUACGGAAUAGCCUCGGGAAACUGGGAGUAAUACCGUAUGUGCCCUUCGGGGGAAAGGAUUUAUCGGCAAAGGAUCGGCCCGCGUUGGAUUAGGUAGUUGGUGGGGUAAUGGCCUACCAAGCCGACGAUCCAUAGCUGGUUUGAGAGGAUGAUCAGCCACACUGGGACUGAGACACGGCCCAGACUCCUACGGGAGGCAGCAGUGGGGGAAUCUUAGACAAUGGGCGCAAGCCUGAUCUAGCCAUGCCGCGUGAGCGAUGAAGGCCUUAGGGUUGUAAAGCUCUUUCAGUGGGGAAGAUAAUGACUGUACCCACAGAAGAAGCCCGGCUAACUCCGUG
rnacentral:rRNA from 1 species